rnacentral:ncRNA from 1 species
GGGAAGCGGGUGAAACUCCCGCGCGGUCCCGCCACCGUAUUGGGCUUUGCCCUCAGCCGGGGUACC